GUGCUGGCAUUGGCAGGACAUAUACUAAAAUUGAACAAAACAGAGAUUAGCAUGGCCCUUGCACAAGCAAGACAUGCAAAUUGGUGAAAUAGUCCAUAUUAAA